rnacentral:rRNA from 1 species
UACGUAGGGUGCAAGCGUUAAUCGGAAUUACUGGGCGUAAAGCGUGCGCAGGCGGUUUUGUAAGACUGUCGUGAAAUCCCCGGGCUCAACCUGGGAAUGGCGAUGGUGACUGCAAGGCUAGAGUUUGGCAGAGGGGGGUAGAAUUCCACGUGUAGCAGUGAAAUGCGUAGAUAUGUGGAGGAACACCGAUGGCGAAGGCAAUCCCCUGGGCCUGCACUGACGCUCAUGCACGAAAGCGUGGGGAGCAAACAGG